rnacentral:rRNA from 1 species
CCUUUGACGUUAGCGGCGGACGGGUGAGUAACACGUGGGUAACCUACCUAUAAGACUGGGAUAACUUCGGGAAACCGGAGCUAAUACCGGAUAAUAUUUUGAACCGCAUGGUUCAAAAGUGAAAGACGGUCUUGCUGUCACUUAUAGAUGGACCCGCGCCGUAUUAGCUAGUUGGUAAGGUAACGGCUUACCAAGGCAACGAUACGUAGCCGACCUGAGAGGGUGAUCGGCCACACUGGAGCUGAGACACGGUCCAG